rnacentral:rRNA from 1 species
UGGGGAAUAUUGCACAAUGGGCGAAAGCCUGAUGCAGCAACGCCGCGUGAGUGAUGAAGGCCUUCGGGUUGUAAAGCUCUGUCUUUUGGGACGAUAAUGACGGUACCAAAGGAGGAAGCCACGGCUAACUACGUGCCAGCAGCCGCGGUAAUACGUAGGUGGCAAGCGUUGUCCGGAUUUACUGGGCGUAAAGGAUGCGUAGGCGGAUUUUUAAGUGAGAUGUGAAAACCCUAAGCUUAACUUGGGGACUGCAUUUCAUACUGGAAAUCUAGAGUGCGGGAGAGGAGAAUGGAAUUCCUAGUGUAGCGGUGAAAUGCGUAGAGAUUAGGAAGAACACCAGUGGCGAAGGCGAUUCUCUGGACCGUAACUGACGCUGAGGCAUGAAAAGCGUGGGUAGCAAACAGGAUUAGAUACCCUGGUAGUCCACGCCGUAAACGAUGAGUACUAGGUGUAGGAGGUAUCGACCCCUUCUGUGCCGCAGUUAACACAAUAAGUACUCCGCCUGGGAAGUACGAUCGCAAGAUUAAAACUCAAAGGAAUUGACGGGGUC